rnacentral:rRNA from 1 species
GACGAACGCUGGCGGCGUGCUUAACACAUGCAAGUCGAACGGAAAGGCCCUGCUUUUGUGGGGUGCUCGAGUGGCGAACGGGUGAGUAACACGUGAGUAACCUGCCCUUGACUUUGGGAUAACUUCAGGAAACUGGGGCUAAUACCGGAUAGGAGCUCCUGCUGCAUGGUGGGGGUUGGAAAGUUUCGGCGGUUGGGGAUGGACUCGCGGCUUAUCAGCUUGUUGGUGGGGUAGUGGCUUACCAAGGCUUUGACGGGUAGCAGGCCUGAGAGGGUGACCGGCCACAUUGGGACUGAGAUACGGCCCAGACUCCUACUGGAGGCAGCAGUGGGGAAUAUUGCACAAUGGGCGGAAGCCUGAUGCAGCAACGCCGCGUGCGGGAUGACGGCCUUCGGGUUGUAAACCGCUUUCUCCUGUGACGAAGCGUGAGUGACGGUAAUGGGUAAAGAAGCACCGGCUAACUACGUG